GCCGUGAAGUUGGGGAUAACUCGCUGAAAGGCGAGCUAAUACCGAAUGUGAAAAUUGAAAGGCAUCUUUUGAUUUUUAAAGUUGGGGAUCGUAAGACCUGACGCUUCAUGAUGAACCCGCGGCCUAUCAGCUAGUUGGUGAGGUAACGGCUCACCAAGGCUAGGACGGGUAGCUGGUCUGAGAGGACGACCAGCCACACUGGAACUGAGACACGGUCCAGACACCUACGGGUGGCAGCAGUCGAGAAUUUUUCUCAAUGGGGGAAACCCUGAAGGAGCGACGCCGCGUGGGGGAUGAAUGGCUUCGGCCCGUAAACCCCUGUCAUUUGCGAACAAGUUGUUUCACCUAACACGUGAAACAUUGAUAGUAGCGGAAGAGGAAGGGACGGCUAACUCUGUGCCAGCAGCCGCGGUAAUACAGAGGUCCCAAGCGUUGUUCGGAUUCACUGGGCGUAAAGGGUGCGUAGGUGGUAAGGUAAGUCGAAUGUGAAAUCUCCAGGCUUAACCUGGAAAUGGCAUCGGAAACUGCCUUGCUCGAGGUUUGGAGGGGGGGCUGGAAUACUUGGUGUAGCAGUGAAAUGCGUAGAUAUCAAGUGGAACACCAGUGGCGAAGGCGAGUCCCUGGACAAAACCUGACACUGAGGCACGAAAGCUAGGGGAGCAAACAGGAUUAGAUACCCUGGUAGUCC
rnacentral:rRNA from 1 species